CCUACGGGUGGCAGCAGUGGGGAAUAUUGGACAAUGGGCGAAAGCCUGAUCCAGCCAUGCCGCGUGUGUGAAGAAGGCCUUCGGGUUGUAAAGCACUUUCAGUGGGGAAGAAAGCCUUGGGGCUAAUACCCUCGAGGAAGGACAUCACCCACAGAAGAAGCACCGGCUAACUCCGUGCCAGCAGCCGCGGUAAUACGGAGGGUGCGAGCGUUAAUCGGAAUUACUGGGCGUAAAGCGCGCGUAGGCGGUCUGAUAAGCCGGUUGUGAAAGCCCCGGGCUCAACCUGGGAACGGCAUCCGGAACUGUCAGGCUAGAGUGCAGGAGAGGAAGGUAGAAUUCCCGGUGUAGCGAUGAAAUGCGUAGAGAUCGGGAGGAAUACCAGUGGCGAAGGCGGCCUUCUGGACUGACACUGACGCUGAGGUGCGAAAGCGUGGGUAGCAAACAGGAUUAGAUACCCGAGUAGUC
rnacentral:rRNA from 1 species